rnacentral:rRNA from 1 species
CAGUCGCCGCGGGAAUACGUAGGGUGCAAGCGUUAAUCGGAAUUACUGGGCGUAAAGCGUGCGCAGGCGGUCCGCUAAGACAGAUGUGAAAUCCCCGGGCUUAACCUGGGAACUGCAUUUGUGACUGGCGGGCUAGAGUAUGGCAGAGGGGGGUAGAAUUCCACGUGUAGCAGUGAAAUGCGUAGAGAUGUGGAGGAAUACCGAUGGCGAAGGCAGCCCCCUGGGCCAAUACUGACGCUCAUGCACGAAAGCGUGGGGAGCAAUCAGGAUUAGAUACCCCUGUAGUCCCUGUCUCUUAUAC